CCUAUAAGGAAGUAAGAUCCCUGAAAGAUGAUCAGGUUGAUAGGUCUGAGGUGGAAGUGUGGCGACACAUGGAGCUGACAGAUACUAAUCGAUCGAGGACUUAACCUAAUA
rnacentral:rRNA from 1 species